CAACAACCAAUAAAAAAGAAGAAGAGGAUAACAAAGGAAAACAAUAGAAAGCAACACUGCAAAAAACAAAAGACAUCAAGGACAACAAAACUCUAAACAGCAAGAACAACUGGAUGCGUCUGAGUGCAUGUGUGGCACUAUUUACGUGUGUCUAUCAAAUCAAAUGUUAUUUGUCAUAUGCGCCGAAUACAACAGGUACCUAACAGUGAAAUGCUUAUUUACAAGCCCUUAAAAGAACAAUGCAGUUUUAAGAAAAGAGAUGAGAAUAACAAAUAAUUAAAGAGCAGCAAUGAAUAACAAUAGUGGGGGGUUUAUACAGGGGUACCGGUACAGAGUCAAUGUGGAGGCUAUAUACAGGGUAUUACGGUACAGAGUCAAUGUGGAGGCUAUAUACAGGGGGUGCCGGUACUGAGUCAAUGUGGAGACUAUAUACAGGGGGUACUGGUACAGUGUCAAUGUGGAGGCUAUAUACAGGGUAUUACGGUACAGAGUCAAUGUGGAGACUAUAUACAGGGGGUACCAGUACAGAGUCAAUGUGGAGACUAUAUACAGGGGUACCGGUACAGGGUCAAUGUGGAGACUAUAUACAGGGGUACCGGUACAGGGUCAAUGUGGCACCGGUGUUGAGGUAAUUGUGGUAAUAAUGUACAUGUAGGUAGAGUUAUUAAAGUGGUUAUGCAUUGAU
ensembl:lncRNA